GGGCGGGUGCGGUCCUGUGGGCGGUCGGGCUCGCCUUCGAGGCGAUCGGGGACCACCAGCUCGCCCGGUUCAAGGCCGACCCCGCCAAC
rnacentral:tRNA from 1 species